CCCCUGUGAACAUACCACUUGUUGCCUCGGCGGAUCAGCCCGCUCCCGGUAAAACGGGACGGCCCGCCAGAGGACCCCUAAACUCUGUUUCUAUAUGUAACUUCUGAGUAAAACCAUAAAUAAAUCAAAACUUUCAACAACGGAUCUCUUGGUUCUGGCAUCGAUGAAGAACGCAGCAAAAUGCGAUAAGUAAUGUGAAUUGCAGAAUUCAGUGAAUCAUCGAAUCUUUGAACGCACAUUGCGCCCGCCAGUAUUCUGGCGGGCAUGCCUGUUCGAGCGUCAUUUCAACCCUCAAGCACAGCUUGGUGUUGGGACCCGCGUUAAUUCGCGUUCCCCAAAUUGAUUGGCGGUCACGUCGAGCUUCCAUAGCGUAGUAGUAAAACCCUCGUUACUGGUAAUCGUCGCGGCCACGCCGUUAAACCCCAACUUCUGAAUGUUGACCUCGGAUCAGGUAGGAAUACCCGCUGAACUUAAGCAUAUAAUA
rnacentral:rRNA from 1 species